rnacentral:sRNA from 1 species
UUCAUAACGGAAGUUGCGCCACCGCAAUUUGUCACGGUGAUGCGGCGAAGAACGGCGAAGGUACUCGACACGAUCAAGGAGGAAGAAAGAGAAGUUGGCACUGACUCUAUAUUUCCUUCUUCUUUCAAUUCG